CGAACGCGUCUUGGUUAUUGAUGCUAAGUGCUUGCAUUUAACUGAUUUAACAUUGAGACGAGUGGCGAACUGGUGAGUAACACGUGGGUAACCUGCCCUUGAAGUAGGGGAUAACACUUGGAAACAGGCGCUAAUACCGUAUAACAACCAAAACCACCUGGUUUUGGUUUAAAAGAUGGCUUCGGCUAUCACUUUAGGAUGGACCCGCGGCGUAUUAGCUUGUUGGUAAGGUAACGGCCUACCAAGGCAAUGAUACGUAGCCGACCUGAGAGGGUAAUCGGCCACAUUGGGACUGAGACACGGCCCAAACUCCUACAGGAGGCAGCAGUAGGGAAUCUUCCACAAUGGACGAAAGUCUGAUGGAGCAACGCCGCGUGAGUGAUGAAGGGUUUCGGCUCGUAAAACUCUGUUGUUGGAGAAGAACAGGUGUGAGAGUAACUGUUCACAUCUUGACGGUAUCCAACCAGAGAGCCACGGCUAACUACGUGCCAGCAGCCGCGGUAAUACGUAGGUGGCAAGCGUUGUCCGGAUUUAUUGGGCGUAAAGCGAGCGCAGGCGGUUUCUUAGGUCUGAUGUGAAAGCCUUCGGCUUAACCGGAGAAGUGCAUCGGAAACCAGGAGACUUGAGUGCAGAAGAGGACAGUGGAACUCCAUGUGUAGCGGUGAAAUGCGUAGAUAUAUGGAAGAACACCAGUGGCGAAGGCGGCUGUCUGGUCUGUAACUGACGCUGAGGCUCGAAAGCAUGGGUAGCGAACAGGAUUAGAUACCCUGGUAGUC
rnacentral:rRNA from 1 species